CGGGACGAGGCGGGGAGCUCCGCCUGGGCGCGGCUGUGCCUGGGUUUUGGUGACAACUUUGCAUACAUUUCUCUCUGCCUGUGGAGAAGGAAGCGUCUGUGGGGGUAUGUACCCAGGAGUAGAGUUACAGUGAGAAGCCAAGUGCUUUCUGUUGAGGAAGUGGGGAAGCCAACUCAGUUGCUAAUGCACCCGUUUUGAAGUGUCUAGG
rnacentral:lncRNA from 1 species